rnacentral:rRNA from 1 species
CCUACGGGAGGCAGCAGUGAGGAAUAUUGGUCAAUGGACGCAAGUCUGAACCAGUCAUGCCGCGUGCAGGAAGACGGCUCUAUGAGUUGUAAACUGCUUUGGUACGAGGGUAAACGCAGAUACGCGUAGAUGUCUGAAAGUAGCGUACGAAUAAGGAUCGGCUAACUCCGUGCCAGCAGCCGCGGUAAGACGGCGGAAUCAAGCGUUGUCCGGAUUUAUGGGGUGUAAAGGGGGCGUAGGGGGUCGGCUAAGUUAGAGGUGAAAUCCCGAGGCUCAACUUCGGAAUUGCCUCUGAUACUGUUCGGCUAGCGUGUAGUUGCGGUAGGCGGCAUGUCUGGUGUAGCGGUGCAAUGCUU